rnacentral:rRNA from 1 species
AUUGAACGCUGGCGGCAGGCUUAACACAUGCAAGUCGAGCGGAGAUGAGGUGCUUGCACCUUAUCUUAGCGGCGGACGGGUGAGUAAUGCUUAGGAAUCUGCCUAUUAGUGGGGGACAACAUUCCGAAAGGAAUGCUAAUACCGCAUACGUCCUACGGGAGAAAGCAGGGGAUCUUCGGACCUUGCGCUAAUAGAUGAGCCUAAGUCGGAUUAGCUAGUUGGUGGGGUAAAGGCCUACCAAGGCGACGAUCUGUAGCGGGUCUGAGAGGAUGAGCCCCCACAGUGGGACUGGGACACGGACCAGGCUCCUACGGGAGGCAGCGGUGGGGAAUAUUGGACAAUGGGGGGAACCCUGAUCCAGCCAUGCCGCGUGUGUGAAGAAGGCCUUAUGGUUGUAAAGCACUUUAAGCGAGGAGGAGGCUACUGAGACUAAUACUCUUGGAUAGUGGACGUUACUCGCAGAAUAAGCACCGGCUAACUCUGUGCCAGCAGCCGCAGUAACAC